AUUGAACGCUGGCGGCAUGCCUUACACAUGCAAGUCGAACGGUAACAGGUCUUCGGAUGCUGACGAGUGGCGAACGGGUGAGUAAUACAUCGGAACGUGCCUAGUAGUGGGGGAUAACUACUCGAAAGAGUGGCUAAUACCGCAUGAGAUCUACGGAUGAAAGCAGGGGAUCGCAAGACCUUGUGCUACUAGAGCGGCCGAUGGCAGAUUAGGUAGUUGUUGGGAUAAAAGCUUACCAAGCCGACGAUCUGUAGCUGGUCUGAGAGGACGAUCAGCCACACUGGGACUGGGACACGGCCCAGACUCCUACGGGAGGCAGCAGUGGGGAAUUUUGGACAAUGGGCGCAAGCCUGAUCCAGCAAUGCCGCGUGCAGGAUGAAGGCCUUCGGGUUGUAAACUGCUUUUGUACGGAACGAAAAGCCCUGGGUUAAUACCCUGGGGUCAUGACGGUACCGUAAGAAUAAGCACCGGCUAACUACGUGCCGGCCGCCGCCGUAA
rnacentral:rRNA from 1 species